UCUAUUGAUCAGUUGGCAAGAUGUCGGCAUAGCUGAUAAUUUUUUGUCGAAAUUUUUAAAAUACCGCUAUGCUGCAUCUAGUCAAUUAUUUCA
rfam:Glossina morsitans morsitans, isolate Yale, WGS project CCAG01000000 data, contig: ctg10021196